AUGGGGAGACCGCCGGAAACGCCUCCGCCACUCCGAUGGGCGGUGACCUUCUCCACCGCCUUCCUCGAUGGCAGGCUGGAGUGGCGCGUCGGUUCUCUUUACCUGGAUCGUCCGGACUUCUGUUUCUUACGGAACAGCGAUGGGAAGAUUGAGGAAGGGAGGCAUCUUCGGCCUGGGGAGAGGAUCUCCACCGGGAAUGAGAUGGUGCUCCUUGACUGUGUCGUGCGCGUUGGAGCACGAGUCCUCCCGGAUCGAUGGCGGCUUACCCUCGCGCCGGGAGAUCUCUCGCCGGCGAUGGCGGCUUCUAGUUCUGGAUCACGUUUCAAUGUCCUUGCUGAGCCGCAGGUCGGGGAGGAUGGCGAUGAGGCCUCGGCCGUAGAUGCUUCGUCUGGAAAGGAGCAUGUGGCGAUGAAGGCUGCUUCCAUGAUCCUGUCCGAUGAGGGUCUAGCGGACGGAGGUGCUGCCUGGUCCACUGUCUCGCGCCGUAGGAAGACAAAGGAAGAGCUGGUGCAAGAGUUUUGGGAAGACGUCGGUUUUCCGACGCCGGCGUCGCGCGUUUGGGAACGACCUGGAUCUUCAUCUCCGACGCCCAUCUCCGGCCAGGUACGGGAUAGUUCAAUUUCGACUAAUGGGUUGCCUUCUCAGUGCAGGACCCCGCCGGUGGGAGUAGACGUCUACAAGCCGCCGGCUGCCGCGCGCCACAUCCGCCGGGGUGUGCUAAUUCGGCCGUGGAAAGGGCCUCUUCCGCGCCCGCGGCCGAUGCAGCCCGUCGCCCUGGCGGCAUUCAUGCCGCCGCCGUCGUCCGACGGGCCCGCGGCAGACAACGCUCAACGGUCGUUGCAUGAUCCACGUUCUGCGGCAACAUGCAGUGCGUCAGUUACGCCUAACUCCACGCUGCCAAUCGAGACCGGGAGGAUGGGUUCGAGCGAUGGUGGGUCCUCUGCCAGCGCGUCGCAGAUGUCAGGGUGGCCCCGCCGCGUUGACUUUUCUCUUAGGGGAGGAGUCGUACGUGCCUGGGCCCUAAUCCCUACGUGCGAUACGCUUCCAUCACCAUCUCGUUUGCCGCCGCCGCCGCCGCUGAGGGUCUCCUACGCCGCCGCCGUUCGUGUAGGCGCCUCCGCUGGCAUGUCAGGGCGCCUACCUUCCUCGUCCAAAGGCGGUCCGCCGGCAAUGAAGGGAACCGCGCCAUCUUCAGCUGUUGUGUCACAGGACGGCCCUGUCGUACCAUCCCAGUCCCGCUUCACCGGGUUUGGCCCCACGGCCGGGCCGCCAAGGACCGGCGCCUCCGGACAGGCACCGCCGGCUUCCGCUCCUCUCCAACAACCGAUGCUUUUCGGCGUUCCAACAACAGCGGCUGCUCCUCCCACUUCUAGCCGUCCGAGCAACAACAACAAGAAAAAGAAGCGUAAGGGUACCGGCCGGGUUCCUGCAUCGACUGCCUCGGGACCGCCGCUCUUUGUUCCGGUUCCUCAGGCCACGCCUGCUGCUCCUGUGUUGCCUGGCCCUGUGUCGGCUGGGACUUCAACUGUUUCGCCUGCAGCACAGAUUGGAGGGAAGAAGAUUAGUCUUUGGUGCUACAAGUGCAGGACGGACGAUCAUCUUUCUAAGGAUUGUAAUGUGACUCACUUCUGCUACAUUUGCAAUAAUUAUAAGCAUCCUCUUCAUCGCUGCUCUGUGCUGAAGCAGUCGAGACCUAUGGCAGCCUUCGGUGGUGUGGGUCUAAACGAGGCCAUGUUCGUGCAUCUGCCGGACUCAGUUUUUAAGGAGCACCUCGCACCAUCGUCCUCACCAAUCGGUCUGGUUAUGAUAUCGGGAGGCUCGGUGACGGGAGCUGUUGUGGAGGCUGAGAUUGCUAAAAUUGCCUCGGUACAAACUUCAUGGAAGUGGGAGACCGUUCCUCAUGGUGAUGAUGCCUUCUUGGUUGCCUUUCCGUCUAUGGAGGUUUUGCGUCGAGUGUCUGCUUUCGAGUUCAAAGUCAAGUCUCACAAUGUACUGAUUGCUAUCAGUGAAUGGAAAUCAAAAAAUGAUGUCAAGCCUACGUAUAAUCCGCUGAAGCCAGUUUGGGUACAUGUCACCGGAGUUCCACCGCCACUUCGCCACUUUCUUGGUUUGUGGGCAGUGGGUUCCGUCAUCGACGCAACACAGGAUGUUGACUUGAUUUGCUUGCGACGCCGUGGCAUCGUGCGUAUUCAAGUGGCUGUCCUAAAUUUAAAUAUAUUUACGAAAGAGGAUAAUACAGGGAGUGCGUCAGUGUCUGCUGGGGUGUAUGUCAAAUUAAAUGGUUAUGACUUCCGAUUUGUUCUCGAGGAGGAUGAUUUUAAACCCGAUGAUGAUUUUAUCCCUCGAAUUUGGGAACACCAAGAUGAUGGCCCCGACCAUGGGGCAAACCGGGAUGAUGAUUUGCCUGAUCAGGAUGCGAAUAAAAAGGCCAAAAAUUCUGGAGUCUCCGGUGCAGCUUCGUCUGAAUCUCAGUCUGAUGGGACCGUUCCAAUGAACACGGAUGUUGGUUUUGCGGGUGCACAGAGAGUAUGCUCGGACUCACCCAUGAGCACCAUUGAAGAGUCACGCACAACUAGCACCCCAUCUAUUGAUGUGAUACAUGCAGAUAAUUUGGAGGCAAGCGUUGGUGGCCAUGACAGCGCACACGCAGGUCUGGGGCACCCCAAGCGAGUUGCUGCCUUGCAGCCGGUUGAGGGGGAGUUUGGCCCACCAGCUCAGGGCCUGGCGGAAGCCAUCGGCUCAGGUGCAUGCCCAGCUACUGUGCAUGGAGCAGCUGAUGUGUACGGAGCUGCAGAUCUUCGCCAGCGUUUGGACGUGUCGGUUCAGCAGCCGGCUGUUGCUGCAGUCAGCCCACCCACGCAGGCUCGGCAGCAGUCUCCGAUGCUGUCUCACGGGGCUAUUCCGAUGGCGCCAAGUGUUGAUCUUGCUGCACCGACUUCGUCUUCAACACCUACCAUGUUGGCUGCUGCUUCAUCAUUGUCGACGGAUCGUCCGAUGACGCCGAUGGCUCUUAUGUCUGAGGGAAGCUCUCCCCUUCGACGUAGUAACCGUCACCCCCGUCUCAGUUGA
rnacentral:rRNA from 1 species